UGGAGAAGGGGAUGGAGAGGGUGGGGCAAGAGAAGAGGUGGAGUGAGAGAGGGAGGAAGGGACUGAUGAUGGGGCCUCGGGAAGGGAAGCGGCAUCUGAGCUGGUUGUGGACCUGAUUAAAUGAAAGCAACAGGAAGGAGAGAGUAAGAGAAAGUUCAGAACACUGACUUGACUGAUGCUGCACUGGGCCAGCGAGCUCCCAGCUUAGCAAAGUGUUUCCGUGGAGAAUUUAUCCACAAGCCCACUGGGAAAUGGAGCUUCCUAAAUCGGGGACUGCCAGACUCCUCCAUCUGAGGGAGUAAGAGAGAGGGAGGGCUUUUGAAAAAAGGAAACAGGAAACCUGGGACAGGAUGUCAAAGACAGAGAGGCACCUGUAACCUUUGACCUUGUCAACAACAGAAUGAUGUGUCAGGAAAGAAGAUCUCUGUGUAUAUCCGUACAUGUGAAUGUGUCUAUAUCUAUAUCCUAUUUCUAUACGUACAAGACUAAGAAAGACACAUUACUAAAGACUACUAAGAUACGUUUUCUUGUUUAAAACAUAAAUCUGACUA